AGCAGCCGCGGUAAUUCCAGCUCCAAUAGCGUAUAUUAAAGUUGUUGCAGUUAAAAAGCUCGUAGUUGAAUUUCGGGGUCAGUAGGUCGGUCAUGCCACUGGUAUGUACUGGUCUCACUGAUUCCUCCUUCCUGAUGAACCGUAAUGCCAUUAAUUUGGUGUUGCGGGGAGACUGGACUGUUACUUUGAAAAAAUUAGAGUGUUUAAAGCAGGCUAACGCUUGAAUACAUUAGCAUGGAAUAACGGAAUAGGACGUUCGAUCUUAUUUUGUUGGUUUCUAAGAUUGACGUAAUGAUUAAUAGGGAUAGUUGGGGGCAUUAGUAUUCAAUUGUCAGAGGUGAAAUUCUUGGAUUUAUUGAAGACUAACUACUGCGAAAGCAUUUGCCAAGGAUGUU
rnacentral:sRNA from 1 species